GUGUAAAGAGUCCAGUCAAAGUGAAGCCUUCGUGCCCUGCUGUUUGGCUUGGUUUAGAAUUUGGUUUCUUGAUGCCUGGGAGACUCAUCAGUUAUAUCUCAAGAUCACUUCUGGUCUGGCUCUUCUGUUCACUGGCCUAGCUAUUGCCUUCACACUACACCACAACCUACUGGAGAGGAGGAGGCGUGAGAGGGAGGAGGCUCAGAGGCUGAAGGAUGAAGAGGCAGAGAGGAGGAUACCAGAUGAGGCGCUAGUUAUUUGAGCUCAGAGAGACCCAUUCCUGAACUGUGUGUUUGCAAGUGUGAGGUUGUGCAUAAAUUAAAAACUGUAAAUAGGCUACAAGGGCUAUGUGCAAUGCUAGUGAAACACGGGCUACUGCAAUAGAAAUGUGAUGUGUUUGUAGCUUUUCAAAAAAGUUGUAAAUACUAGUUGGUACUAGUUUAAACACUAGUUUGAUUUAAGUAUUGAUCAAGUAUAUUUGACAUAGCUUUCCAACUUCUCAAUUUAAAAUAGAAGCAUUUAUGUUAUUGGAGUCAUUAUUUACUGUUUUAUAAAUUAUAUAGGUCAUGGAAUGAUAGUUUAAGGUCCUUUAUUAGUUCUUACAAGGAAAAUAGUUCACUCAGUAAGUAGGUCAUUCCUAGAAGUAGGUCAUUAUAUUCAAAACUGAAGCAAAGACAAAAUAUGCAUUACAAAAAAAAAAAAA
rnacentral:sRNA from 1 species